rnacentral:rRNA from 1 species
UGGGGAAUAUUGGACAAUGGGCGAAAGCCUGAUCCAGCCAUGCCGCGUGUGUGAAGAAGGUCUUCGGAUUGUAAAGCACUUUAAGUUGGGAGGAAGGGCAGUAAGUUAAUACCUUGCUGUUUUGACGUUACCGACAGAAUAAGCACCGGCUAACUCUGUGCCAGCAGCCGCGGUAAUACAGAGGGUGCAAGCGUUAAUCGGAAUUACUGGGCGUAAAGCGCGCGUAGGUGGUUUGUUAAGUUGGAUGUGAAAGCCCCGGGCUCAACCUAGGAACUGCAUCCAAAACUGGCAAGCUAGAGUACGGUAGAGGGUGGUGGAAUUUCCUGUGUAGCGGUGAAAUGCGUAGAUAUAGGAAGGAACACCAGUGGCGAAGGCGACCACCUGGACUGAUACUGACACUGAGGUGCGAAAGCGUGGGGAGCAAACA